rnacentral:rRNA from 1 species
UACGUAGGGGGCUAGCGUUGUCCGGAAUCAUUGGGCGUAAAGCGCGUGUAGGCGGCCUUGUAAGUCCGUUCUGAAAGCCCGGGGCUCAACCCCGGGAGGCGGAUGGAUACUGCAAGGCUCGAGUCCGGAAGAGGCGAGUGGAAUUCCCGGUGUAGCGGUGAAAUGCGCAGAUAUCGGGAGGAACACCAAUGGCGAAGGCAGCUCGCUGGGACGGUACUGACGCUGAGAAGCGAAAGCGUGGGGAGCAAACAGG